GUGCAAAUGAUGAACAACAUUGAUCCAACGCCUAAUUUCAUUGCGGAUUCACUAAGAGCUUUUUAAAUCUGAUGCACU
rnacentral:snoRNA from 1 species